AUCAGGAUGAACUUGGCGUGCCUGUGUAAAAACAAAACAACCCAACAAUCACUACAAAUUAGGAACUGGAAUUGUGCACACACUAGAGACUAGUUCUCCAUUCGUGGGUAUUGGCAUCAUCACUUCCCAAAUUCAGAUGCUAAUCAAACUCACCGGAUCCAAAUAACAGACCAAAAACAAAAGGGUACCUUGAAAUCAAGAGAAGAGAGAUAAAAAUUGAACCUUUAUGUAGUAAGCUUUCUUAA